rnacentral:rRNA from 1 species
GACGAACGCUGGCGGCGUGCUUAACACAUGCAAGUCGAACGGAAAGGCCCUUCGGGGUACUCGAGUGGCGAACGGGUGAGUAACACGUGGGUGAUCUGCCCUGCACUUUGGGAUAAGCCUGGGAAACUGGGUCUAAUACCGGAUAGGGCCACGCGCUUCAUGGUGUGUGGUGGAAAGCUUUUGCGGUGUGGGAUGGGCCCGCGGCCUAUCAGCUUGUUGGUGGGGUAAUGGCCUACCAAGGCGACGACGGGUAGCCGGCCUGAGAGGGUGACCGGCCACACUGGGACUGAGAUACGGCCCAGACUCCUACGGGAGGCAGCAGUGGGGAAUAUUGCACAAUGGGCGCAAGCCUGAUGCAGCGACGCCGCGUGAGGGAUGACGGCCUUCGGGUUGUAAACCUCUUUCGCCAGGGACGAAGCGCAAGUGACGGUACCUGGAGAAGAAGGACCGGCCAACUACGUGCCAGCCGCCGCAGUAA